GACGAACGCUGGCGGCGUGCCUAAUACAUGCCAGUCGAGCGGACUGAUUAAGAGCUUGCUCUUAUGACGUUAGCGGCGGACGGGUGAGUAACACGUGGGCAACCUGCCCUGUAGAUCGGGAUAACACCGAGAAAUCGGUGCUAAUACCGGGUAAUAUCUGAGAUCACAUGAUCUUAGGUUAAAAGAUGGCUCCGGCUAUCACUACAGGAUGGGCCCGCGGCGCAUUAGCUAGUUGGUAAGGUAAUGGCUUACCAAGGCGACGAUGCGUAGCCGACCUGGGAGGGUGAUCGGCCACACUGGGACUGAGACACGGCCCAGACGCCUACGGGAGGCAGCAGUAGGGAAUCUUCCGCAAUGGACGAAAGUCUGACGGAGCAACGCCGCGUGAGUGAUGAAGGGUUUCGGCUCGUAAAGCUCUGUUGUUAGGGAAGAAACAGUACCGAACGAACUAGGUCGGUACCUUGACGGUACCUAACCAGAAAGCCACGGCUAACUACGUG
rnacentral:rRNA from 1 species